UACGUAGGGUCCGAGCGUUGUCCGGAAUUAUUGGGCGUAAAGGGCUCGUAGGCGGUCUGUUGCGUCGGGAGUGAAAACUUACAGCUUAACUGUGAGCGUGCUUUCGAUACGGGCAGACUAGAGGUAUGCAGGGGAGAACGGAAUUCCUGGUGUAGCGGUGAAAUGCGCAGAUAUCAGGAGGAACACCGGUGGCGAAGGCGGUUCUCUGGGCAUGAUCUGACGCUGAGGAGCGAAAGUGUGGGGAGCGAACAGG
rnacentral:rRNA from 1 species